UGCCCCAUGGCUGAGUUGGUUACAGCGUCCGACUGUUAAUUCGUAACAGGUGAAUCGGAAGGUCGAGAGUUCGAGCCUCUCUGGGGCAG